UAGGGAAUAUUAGAAAUGGACGAAAGUCUGAUCUAGCAACACCGCGUGUGCGAAGAAGGCCUUCGGGUUGUAAAGCACUUUUUGGAAGGAUUAGGAAGGAAUGUACUUCCAGAAUAAGUCUCGGCUAACUACGUGCCAGCAGCCGCGGUAACACGUAGGAGGCAAACGUUAUCCGGAUUUACUGGGCGUAAAGCGCGUGUAGGUGGUUCUGUAAGUAGGGCGUGAAAGCUCCUGGCUCAACUGGGAGAGGCCGUUCUAAACUGCAGAGCUAAAGGAUGGUAGAGGGAGGUGGAAUUCCGGGUGUAGCGGUGGAAUGCGCAGAUAUCCGGAGGAACACCAGUGGCGAAAGCGGCCUCCUGGACCAUUCCUGACACUCAGGCGCGAAAGCUAGGGUAGCUAACG
rnacentral:rRNA from 1 species